rnacentral:rRNA from 1 species
UACGGGGGGGGCAAGCGUUGUUCGGAAUUACUGGGCGUAAAGGGCUCGUAGGCGGCCAACUAAGUCAGACGUGAAAUCCCUCGGCUUAACCGGGGAACUGCGUCUGAUACUGGAUGGCUUGAGUUUGGGAGAGGGGUGCGGAAUUCCAGGUGUAGCGGUGAAAUGCGUAGACAUCUGGAGGAACACCGGUGGCGAAGGCGGCAUCCUGGACCAACACUGACGCUGAGUGAGCGAAAGCCAGGGGAGCAAACGGG